UACGUAGGGUGCAAGCGUUAAUCGGAAUUACUGGGCGUAAAGCGUGCGCAGGCGGUUAUGUAAGACAGAUGUGAAAUCCCCGGGCUCAACCUGGGAACUGCAUUUGUGACUGCAUAGCUGGAGUACGGUAGAGGGGGAUGGAAUUCCGCGUGUAGCAGUGAAAUGCGUAGAUAUGCGGAGGAACACGAUGGCGAAGGCAAUCCCCUGGACCUGUACUGACGCUCAUGCACGAAAGCGUGGGGAGCAAACAGG
rnacentral:rRNA from 1 species